rnacentral:rRNA from 1 species
GACGAACGCUGGCGGCGUGCCUAAUGCAUGCAAGUAGAACGCUGAAGGAGGAGCUUGCUUCUCUGGAUGAGUUGCGAACGGGUGAGUAACGCGUAGGUAACCUGCCUGGUAGCGGGGGAUAACUAUUUGAAACGAUAGCUAAUACCGCAUAAUAGCAGUUAUUGCAUGAUAACUGUUUGAAAGGUUCAAUUUCACCACUACCAGAUGGUCCUGCGUUGUAUUAGCUAGUUGGUGGGGUAACGGCUCAACAAGGCGACGAUACAUAUCCGACCUGAGAGGGUGAACGGCCAAAAUGGGAAUGAGAAAAGGCCCAGAAUAAUACGGGAGGCAGCAGUAGGGAAUCAUCGGAAAUGGAAGGAAGUCUGACCGAGAAACGCCGGGUGAGUGAAGAAGGGUUUCGGAGCGUAAAGCUCUGUUGUAAGAGAAGAAAGAGAGUGAGAGUGGAAAGUUCACAGUGUGACGGUAACUUAACAGAAAGGGACGGCUAACUACGUG